CGUAUGGUUCUAUUUUGUUGGUUUCUAGGACCGUCGUAAUGAUUAAUAGGGACAGUCGGGGGCAUCAGUAUUCAAUUGUCAGAGGUGAAAUUCUUGGAUUAAUUGAAGACUAACUACUGCGAAAGCAUUUGCCAAGGAUGUUUUCAUUAAUCAAGAACGAAAGUUAGGGGAUCGAAGACGAUCAGAUACCGUCGUAGUCUUAACCAUAAACUAUGCCGACUAGGGAUCGGGUGAUGUUUUUUUAUGACUCACUCGGCACCUUACGAGAAAUCAAAGUUUUUGGGUUCUGGGGGGAGUAUGGUCGCAAGGCUGAAACUUAAAGGAAUUGACGGAAGGGCACCACCAGGAGUGGAGCCUGCGGCUUAAUUUGACUCAACACGGGGAAACUCACCAGGUCCAGACACAAUAAGGAUUGACAGAUUGAGAGCUCUUUCUUGAUUUUGUGGGUGGUGGUGCAUGGCCGUUCUUAGUUGGUGGAGUGAUUUGUCUGCUUAAUUGCGAUAACGAACGAGACCUUAACCUACUAAAUAGCUCAGUUAGCGUUUUUGCUGAUUGCUAGCUUCUUAGAGGGACUAUCGAUAUCAAAUCGAUGGAAGUUUGAGGCAAUAACAGGUCUGUGAUGCCCUUAGACGUUCUGGGCCGCACGCGCGCUACACUGACGGAGCCAGCGAGUACAUAACCUUGGCCGAGAGGUCUGGGUAAUCUUGUUAAACUCCGUCGUGC
rnacentral:rRNA from 1 species